rnacentral:rRNA from 1 species
CUACGGGUGGCUCCAGUGAGGAAUAUUGCACAAUGGGGGGAACCCUGAUGCAGCAACGCCGCGUGGAGGAUGACGCAUUUCAGUGUGUAAACUCCUUUUAUAUGUCAAGAAAAUGACGGUAGCAUAUGAAUAAGCACCGGCUAACUCCGUGCCAGCAGCCGCGGUAAUACGGAGGGUGCAAGCGUUACUCGGAAUCACUGGGCGUAAAGGACGCGUAGGCGGGCUUGUAAGUCAGGUGUGAAAUCCUACAGCUUAACUGUAGAACUGCACUUGAAACUACGAGCCUAGAGUAUGGGAGGGGCAGAUGGAAUUAGUGGUGUAGGGGUAAAAUCCGUAGAUAUCACUAGGAAUACCUAAAGCGAAGGCGAUCUCCUGGAACAUUACUGACGCUAAGGCGUGAAAGCGUGGGGAGCAAACAGGAUUAGAUACCCGUGUAGUC